UACGAAGGGGGCUAGCGUUGUUCGGAAUCACUGGGCGUAAAGGGCGCGUAGGCGGCCGCUCACGUCGGGGGUGAAAGCCUGUGGCUUAACCACAGAAUUGCCUUCGAUACUGUUUGGCUUGAGACCGGAAGAGGUUAGUGGAACUGCGAGUGUAGAGGUGAAAUUCGUAGAUAUUCGCAAGAACACCAGUGGCGAAGGCGGCUGACUGGUCCGGUUCUGACGCUGAGGAGCGAAAGCGUGGGGAGCAAACAGG
rnacentral:rRNA from 1 species